ensembl:ncRNA K02A4.12 ncRNA
UAAAACUGUGAUGACGGAAAGGUUUUGUUUGAGCUUUAACAAACCUCAAGGUUUUCAAGAGCCUCGUUUUGUCUUUCCACUUUCUAUCUGAUGCUUUUUGUCAGAGGAAAGGGGUUCAGACUUUUUUGUUC